AGCAGCCGCGGUAAUUCCAGCCCCAAUAGCGUAUAUUAAAGUUGUUGCAGUUAAAAAGCUCGUAGUUGAAUUUCGGGGUUAGUAGGUUGGUCAUGCCUCUGGUACGUACUGGUCUCACUGAUUCCUCCUUCCUGAUGAACCUUAAUGCCAUUUAUUUGGUGUUUUGGGGAAUUUGGACUGUUACUUUGAAAAAAUUAGAGUGUUUAAAGCAAGCUAACGCUUGAAUACAUUAGCAUGGAAUAAUGAAAUAGGACGUUCGAUCCUAUUUUGUUGGUUUCUAGGGUUGACGUAAUGAUUAAUAGGGAUAGUUGGGGGCAUUAGUAUUCAAUUGUCAGAGGUGAAAUUCUUGGAUUUAUUGAAGACUAACUACUGCGAAAGCAUUUGCCAAGGAUGUUUUCAUUAAUCAAGAACGAAAGUUAGGGGAUCGAAGACGAUCAGAUACCGUCGUAGUCUUAACCAUAAACUAUGCCGACUAGGGAUCGGAUGAUGUUAAUUUUUUAAUGA
rnacentral:rRNA from 1 species